rnacentral:rRNA from 1 species
AUUUUAUUAUUAUAACUUUGUGUUCAGCCAUUUAGUUUUGUGGAUUUUAUGGUGAUUUUCAAUUUGAUUAUGUUAAAAUUUUAUUUGUUUGUGUUUUAGUCUAUUUUAUUGGAAUGUUUUCUUUAUUUUGUUUUGGUUGGUAUUUGUUGUGGAAUUAGUAAAUUUUAUUUUUAUGUUGUUAUUUGGUGUUAAUUUCUUUUAAGGAAUUAGGCAAAUUUUUUGUGUCCGCCUGUUUAACAAAAACAUCUUUUCUUGUUGGUUUCUGAAGUAUGGCCUGCCCACUGACGUAUUUUGAGUUGAAGGGCCGCGGUAUUUUGACCGUGCAAAGGUAGCAUAGUCAUUAGUUCUUUAAUUGUGAUCUGGUAUGAAUGGCUUGACGAGACAUGGGCUGUCUUAGGUGUGGAAUUUGUUGUUGAAUUUGGAGUUUAAGUUAAAAUUCUUAGAUGUUAUUAUGGGACGAGAAGACCCUAUAGAGUUUGACAUUUGAUUGCGUAUUUCUUGUUGUUUGUUUUGAAUUUUUGCGUAUCUUUUGUUUUGUUGGGGUGAUGGGAGGAAUUUAUUUAACUCCUCUUUUUAUGUGAUAUAUUGAUUUGUAUUUGUUUUGAUCCAUUUAUUUUGAUUGUAAGAUUAAAUUAC